GACGAACGCUGGCGGCGUGCUUAACACAUGCAAGUCGAACGGAAAGGCCCUGCUUUUGUGGGGUGCUCGAGUGGCGAACGGGUGAGCAACACGUGAGUAACCUGCCCUUGACUUUGGGAUAACUUCAGGAAACUGGGGCUAAUACCGGAUAGGAGCUCCUGCUGCAUGGUGGGGGUUGGAAAGUUUCGGCGGUUGGGGAUGGACUCGCGGCUUAUCAGCUUGUUGGUGGGGUAGUGGCUUACCAAGGCUUUGACGGGUAGCCGGCCUGAGAGGGUGACCGGCCACAUUGGGACUGAGAUACGGCCCAGACUCCUACGGGAGGCAGCAGUGGGGAAUAUUGCACAAUGGGCGGAAGCCUGAUGCAGCAACGCCGCGUGCGGGAUGACGGCCUUCGGGUUGUAAACCGCUUUCGCCUGUGACGAAGCGUGGGUGACGGUAAUGGGUAAAGAAGCACCGGCUAACUACGUG
rnacentral:rRNA from 1 species